rnacentral:rRNA from 1 species
AACGAACGCUGGCGGCAUGCCUAACACAUGCAAGUCGAACGAGACCUUCGGGUCUAGUGGCGCACGGGUGCGUAACGCGUGGGAACCUGCCCUUAGGUUCGGAAUAACUCCCCGAAAGGGGUGCUAAUACCGGAUAAUGUCUUCGGACCAAAGAUUUAUCGCCUUUGGAUGGGCCCGCGUUGGAUUAGCUAGUUGGUAGGGUAAAAGCCUACCAAGGCGACGAUCCAUAGCUGGUCUGAGAGGAUGAUCAGCCACACUGGGACUGAGACACGGCCCAGACUCCUACGGGAAGCGGCAGUGGGGAAUAUUGGACAAUGGGCGAAAGCCUGAUCCAGCAAUGCCGCGUGAGUGAUGAAGGCCUUAGGGUUGUAAAGCUCUUUUACCCGGGAUGAUAAUGACAGUACCGGGAGAAUAAGCUCCGGCUAACUCCGUG